AAAGCUGGGGUGCCGUUUGGCUGAGAUUAUACCCAUGAACCUGAUCUGGUCAAUACCAGCGUAGGGAGCUU
rnacentral:ncRNA from 1 species